rnacentral:rRNA from 1 species
CAUGCAAGUCGAACGGUGAAGCAGAGCUUGCUCUGUGGAUCAGUGGCGAACGGGUGAGUAACACGUGAGCAAUCUGCCCCUGACUCUGGGAUAAGCGCUGGAAACGGCGUCUAAUACCGGAUACGAGCUGCGACCGCAUGGUCGGCAGUUGGAAAGAAUUUCGGUCAGGGAUGAGCUCGCGGCCUAUCAGCUUGUUGGUGAGGUAAUGGCUCACCAAGGCGUCGACGGGUAGCCGGCCUGAGAGGGUGACCGGCCACACUGGGACUGAGACACGGCCCAGACUCCUACGGGAGGCAGCAGUGGGGAAUAUUGCACAAUGGGCGAAAGCCUGAUGCAGCAACGCCGCGUGAGGGAUGACGGCCUUCGGGUUGUAAACCUCUUUUAGCAGGGAAGAAGCGAAAGUGACGGUACCUGCAGAAAAAGCGCCGGCUAACUACGUGCCAGCAGCCGCGGUAAUACGUAGGGCGCAAGCGUUAUCCGGAAUUAUUGGGCGUAAAGAGCUCGUAGGCGGUCUGUCGCGUCUGCUGUGAAAACCCGAGGCUCAACCUCGGGCCUGCAGUGGGUACGGGCAGACUAGAGUGCGGUAGGGGAGAUUGGAAUUCCUGGUGUAGCGGUGGAAUGCGCAGAUAUCAGGAGGAACACCGAUGGCGAAGGCAGAUCUCUGGGCCGUAACUGACGCUGAGGAGCGAAAGGGUGGGGAGCAAACAGGCUUAGAUACCCUGGUAGUCCACCCCGUAAACGUUGGGAACUAGUUGUGG